rnacentral:rRNA from 1 species
AUGUUCAGAUAGCCAUGCAUGUCUCAGUAUAAGCUUCUAUACGGCGAAACUGCGAAAGGCUCAUUAAAACAGUUAUAGUUUAUUUGGUGGUCAGCAAUUACAUGGAUAACCGUGGUAAUUCUAGAGCUAAUACAUGCGCCCAAACCCGACUUCGUGGAAGGGUUGUGUUUAUUAGAUACAGAACCAACCCAGGCUCCGCCUGGCCUUGAGGUGAUUCAUAAUAACCGAACGAAUCGCAUGGCUAUGCCGGCGAUAGACCAUUCAAGUUUCUGACCUAUCAGCUAUCGUCGGUAGGGUAUUGGCCUACCGUGGCAAUGACGGGUAACGGAGAAUUAGGGUUCGAUUCCGGAGAGGGAGCCUGAGAAACGGCUACCACAUCUAAGGAAGGCAGCAGGCGCGCAAAUUACCCAAUCCUGACGCAGGGAGGUAGUGACAAGAAAUAACAAUACAGGGCAUACAUGUCUUGUAAUUGGAAUGAGUAAACUUUAAAUCACUUUACG